rnacentral:lncRNA from 1 species
AAAGUUUCUGGGCAAGCUGGGGAAAAGGAUCGCGCGCAAUGCAGUGCAGGAGUCGAGCCUCACGCCCGAAAGCUCAACCUCCAGGUGCGCUGCUGUUGACACAUCCUCAACCCUCGCUUUCUGCGACAAAAACCUGCAAAAUCAGUUGCAACCUGGCCUUUCUCCGCCAUAUUCUCUUUGCGAGUACUGAGGAUGCAGACUUGAGUACAUACCAAAGAACCAAUUCCCCUUUCUUCAAUUGCAGUGCCAGCGGUACUCGGGGCUACCGCACAGCAGAGGCGGUCGACGAUGACGAAGCAGCGCUGGCGCAGCCGCUGCCGCCGGAGCGGCCAGAAAGGGCGGAGAAGACAAACGUGGAAAGUUCAGUGGGCCUGCGGACACUCGUGAGCGGCCCGGAUGGCCGUGUGUACGCCGGGUUUGCCAGCGGCCACCUCAAGUGCAUCAGCGCCCUCGGCCGCCUGCUC